UUCCGGUUGAUCCCGCCGGACCUGACUGCUAUCGGAUUGAUACUAAGCCAUGCGAGUCUUUGUAGUAAUACAAGGCAUACGGCUCAGUAACACGUAGUCAACCUACCUUAUGGACGAGGAUAAUCUCGGGAAACUGAGGAUAAUACUCGAUAGACCAUCACUCCUGGAAUGGUUGGUGGUUGAAAUGAUUCGUCGCCAUAGGAUGGGACUGCGGCCUAUCAGCUUGUUGGUGAGGUAAUGGCUCACCAAGGCGAUUACAGGUACGGGCUCUGAGAGGAGAAGCCUGGAGAUGGGUACUGAGACACGGACCCAGGCCCUAUGGGGCGCAGCAGGCGAGAAAACUUUGCAAUGUGCGAAAGCACGACAAGGUUAAUCCGAGUGAUUUCUGCUAAAGGAAUCUUUUGCUAGUUCUAAAAAUACUAGUGAAUAAGGGGUGGGCAAGUUCUGGUGUCAGCCGCCGCGGCAAAACCAGCACCUCAAGUGGUCAGGAGGAUUAUUGGGCCUAAAGCAUCCGUAGCCUGCUCUUCAAGUUUUCGGUUAAAUCUAUACGCUUAACGUAUAGGCUGCCAAAAAUACUGUAGAGCUAGGGAGUGGGAGAGGUAGACGGUACUCGGUAGGAAGGGGUAAAAUCUUUUGAUCUAUUGAUGACCACCUGUGGCGAAGGCGGUCUACCAGAACAUGUUCGACGGUGAGGGAUGAAAGCUGGAGGAGCAAACCGGAUUAGAUACCCGGGUAGUCCCAGCUGUAAACGAUGCAGACUCGAUGAUGUAUUAGCAUAUAGCUAGUACAGUGUCGCAGGGAAGCCGUUAAGUCUGCCGCCUGGGAAGUACGUACGCAAGUAUGAAACUUAAAGGAAUUGGCGGGGGAGCACCACAAGGGGUGAAGCCUGCGGUUCAA
rnacentral:rRNA from 1 species